UCCCCGGUAGCUCAGCCGGCAGAGCGGGUGGCUGUUAACCACUAGGUCGCAGGUUCGAGUCCUGCCCGGGGAGCCA
rnacentral:tRNA from 1 species